CGCCGAGCGGGCUCGGACCCCAGGUCGCUGGAUGCUCCCGCAGCCUCCGCAGCGCGCGGGCCGGGCAGCCGAGCCGGGCAGCCGAGCCGGGCAGCCGAGCCGCGCAGCCUUAUCACAUGCUUUUAAUCGCUGAGCUAAAAGGUGGCCAGGCCCGGACUGAUUCCGCCGCCUGAGGACGGUCGGAGGGUCAGUCAUGACCCUGAAGCCUUUGUACCUCGCUCACACGUCUCUGUUGGACCCUGGCCCGGCAGCUGGAGAGCGAGCGUGCAGGGGGCUCGGCCUGCGCGGCCAGGCGCCUCCACCUCCACGGCCCCAACCAGCGAAGCCUCCACAUCCUCGCCCCGCAGCCCGCUGCUUCCGCGUGCCCCCCACCUUUACUUGGCAGCACCCUCCUAAUGAGCCCAACUAGAAACCUGGCCCCCGGCUACGCGCACCCCUUGAGUUUGUUGGGCGCUCUCCCUGUCCUGACGGCCUCUGUUGCUGGGGUUGAGGACUGCAUCAUUCCUGCCAGGCUCCUCCUGUGUGCAGGUUCUUGCUCACCCAGGCCCUCUUUUAGGACCUGCACCCCAUGCCCGAGAGACAGUGCUCAGGCUUUGCAAGUCGGAGUGCCUUUCCUCUCUGCUCGGUAAAAUACACUUCAAAGACUUAUUUUAAUAUCUGUGCUAUGGGGGAUCCCCGGAUGGGCCCAGCGGUUUAGUGGCUGCCUUGGCCCGGGGCAUGGUCCUGGAGUCCCGGGAUCGAGUCCUACAUUGGGGCCUGCUUUUCUCUCUGCCUCUCUCUCUC